rnacentral:rRNA from 1 species
UACGAAGGGGGCUAGCGUUGCUCGGAAUCACUGGGCGUAAAGGGUGCGUAGGCGGCUCUUUAAGUCAGGGGUGAAAUCCUGGAGCUCAACUCCAGAACUGCCUUUGAUACUGAGGAUCUUGAGUACGGGAGAGGUGAGUGGAACUGCGAGUGUAGAGGUGAAAUUCGUAGAUAUUCGCAAGAACACCAGUGGCGAAGGCGGCUCACUGGCCCGUAACUGACGCUGAGGCACGAAAGCGUGGGGAGCAAACAGG